rnacentral:lncRNA from 1 species
GUCAGCGCCUCUUCCCACCCCUCAGCAGGAGCCCUGGGGCCCCCGGCUGCCAUCGUCACCCUGCCCCACCUGCAGCAGCAGGGGCCAGCUUACCUGUACGUGAGAUACUGGGGUGCUUUGGGGGUGGGCUGGGAUUUCCUGCAGCCUCUCCUUGGGUCUGAAUGCAGAUCCGUGCUGGGAUGGACUGGCUGCUCUGAGCAGGGGGUGGCAGAGACCUGGUGCCACAGCUGAGUGCAUCCUUCUGCCUCCCUGCAGAACCUGGGGAGAAACAGCUCUGCCUGUUUGUCAGCAAUGCAUUUUAAAUGUUUUUAAUUGCAAAGAAACUAAUUACUCCUUAAGUGCCUCUAGUUAUUUAUCCUGAAACCUUCAUAGCCACCGGUGUUUUGAGCAAUCCGGUUUUUGAAAACUUUCACAGAGUUAAAAUUUGCAGAUAACGCUCUAUGAUGAUUAUAUCAAGGAAAGGUUCACCACCCUGGCACUUUGGUAAAGCAUCUAAAAUUAUAACAGCAUCCCAACAUGCUGCUUGCGCAGCGCUGAGCCCCCCUGGUGCAGAGCCAGGCUGUGGGAAUGCUGUGCCCAGGAGUAGCACCCUCACCACACCAUCAUCCAGCCGAGACUCCAGCACGAAUCCAAAAGACAAGAGAGCUCCCCAGACAUUACAAUAAUUUGCAGAAGGGUGGUGUGAGGGCACCCCAGCAGCUGGGUGCUUUGCACAGAGGCAGAGCCAGGCCAGCGCUCACACAGUGCUCCUGAGCAGCCAGGGCACAGCUGGGAACAGCCCCUCACUCAGACCGGCCCCCGGCCAAACCUCCAGAAGCUUGUGCUGAAAAACAGGGAGAGAAACCUUUCUGAGAGUGCUGGGGCAGCCCCUGACCGGCCAGACCCCCCCAGCUGUUGUUUGUGUUUUGGAAAUAACACCCGAGAGCUGUGGCGUUGUGCUGGAACUCAUCGACUCCUGGAGCGGAUGGCACCGCCCUCGAGAGGAGCUGCCCGCCCGCUGCAGCCGGGCGCUGCGCGGCGCAGGGCUGACCCGCUGCUCUCCGCAGGUGCGUGGCGCUGCGCCCGUACGCGGCGCACGGCCCCGCCGAGCUGCAGCUGCGCAGGGGAGAGGGGCUACGUGUGCUCGGCACGGAGCAGGACGGCUGGCUGCGGGGCAUGUCCCUGCUCACCGGCAGGGUCGGGCUCUUCCCCAGCAGCUACGUCGCUCCCCUCUUCAGGAAAUCGAGCCUGUCCGACUCGAAGAUGCCCUCCCUGUACACGUCCUGGACGCUGUCCAGCGCUUCGCUCUCAUCGCAGGGCAGCGCGGCGGAGCCGGGCCGGCAGAGCCGAGCGCGGGGGGGGGGGGGGGGGGGGGGGGGGGGGGGGGGGGGGGGGGGGGGGGGGGGGGGGGGGGGGGGGGGGGGG